rnacentral:rRNA from 1 species
GUGGGGAAUAUUGGACAAUGGGCGAAAGCCUGAUCCAGCCAUGCCGCGUGUGUGAAGAAGGUCUUCGGAUUGUAAAGCACUUUAAGUUGGGAGGAAGGGUUGUAGAUUAAUACUCUGCAAUUUUGACGUUACCGACAGAAUAAGCACCGGCUAACUUCGUGCCAGCAGCCGCGGUAAUACGAAGGGUGCAAGCGUUAAUCGGAAUUACUGGGCGUAAAGCGCGCGUAGGUGGUUCAGUAAGUUGGAUGUGAAAUCCCCGGGCUCAACCUGGGAACUGCAUCCAAAACUGCUGAGCUAGAGUACGGUAGAGGGUGGUGGAAUUUCCUGUGUAGCGGUGAAAUGCGUAGAUAUAGGAAGGAACACCAGUGGCGAAGGCGACCACCUGGACUGAUACUGACACUGAGGUGCGAAAGCGUGGGGAGCAAACAGGAUUAGAAACCCUGGUAGUCC